UUUCUUUUUCUUUUGAUUUAUUUGGUUUUUGCUCUGUUUUUCUUUUUUUGGAGUGGUUCUGUGGCCUUGUCACUUGGGAAAUCAUCUUCAAUUCUUCUCCCAAGUGGCUCAUCAUCCUUGAAUCUUUCCCAAGGUCAUGCCAUUCCCAUCCUAUCCCAAAUCCCAAUAUUCUUUUCUUGGGGAAAAUUCCUUUUUCAUUAAAGGAAUAACCUCAAUUGCCCUAGGUUGUGAAGCAACCUAUAUUUCUGCCCAUCCAAAAAUUCCCAUAUAAUUCUUAAAAUUCCUUUGGGUCAUAUGUUCCUCAAAUAUGCCCAAACGUUCCAGUCCUAGCUCAAAAAUAAUUCCCCAAUAAUUAUUCUUCUAUUCUGCCCUAAAUGGCACUUUGUGAAGGAAGUGUCAUUUAUAUUUUCCUAGUUGCUCCCAAACUCCUUGGGCAUUCUUUUCUGUCCAAAUAAUUGCCUCAUGCACAAGUUCAACUUUAUUUGCCUAGCCAAUCUUCCUCAGUGAAUUUUGAAAGUUUCUGUCAGAUAGAAGGCUUUGUGAAGGAAGUACUAGCUAGGAGUAUCCAAAUGAGUUAAACUUUUUCACACUCCUUCAUGUGCUCAUAUUAACCCCCUCCACCCAUUUUUAGCCUCAUCCAAUCAUCUAUGUGAGCACAGGAGUAAAUCUUUGAUUCUGGCAAUAUUUUCAAGUUGUGAAGCAAGUGCAUUUUAUAUUGCUUCAAAAAUCCUGAUAAAUUACCCGAUCAUCCUCCUACCCAUAAAACAUCUCUCCACCCAAUUUGGCAUCAUUUAAAUGAGCCAUUUAAUCACCAAAAUUAUUCCAAGUUUCUGGACAGAAAUGAUGUUUGUGAAGCAAGUACCAUUUUGGUUUGUCCAUUUGGUAUGAGCUUUUUACAGCAUCUUUAUAUGUCCAUAUCAUGAGGAUUUUACAAGUUGCAUCCCAUUCCAUAACACCAUGUGAGUGCAUCAUCCAAAUCUUGAUUCUGGACCAAUUAUGGGGUUACACAACAACUAUAUUAGUUUGUGCUCUAUUAUGCUCCAAAACCUCUAGGAUCAUAAUCCUUCCGUAGUUAAUCAUCCCAGACAACACCAUUUGGACCAAUCAUUUUCCUGUUGAUCAGCAGUGCUCUGCCAAGUUUGAUGCAGUAAACUUUAGAGCUUAGUUACCAUUUAACCAUAGCACCCCAGAUCAAGCCAUGGAAUCAUCAAUGCUCCAUUUUGGAAGGACAUCAGCUAGACAACAUUUUGGGUGUUGUAGGGCAAUGAAUGCCCCGGUUCGCGUGGUGACUAUGACGUUGGCGUGCCUGUGCACGCGCUCUGUGCGCAGUGGCCGUGUCCAGGGCGUCGUUUCUGCUUCGUCCGCUUUCCCCUCGUCGUCUUAGCGCGCGUGAGCAUGUCCAUUGUCUUCCUCUCGUCGUCGCCAUUCCCCUGGACCCCUCUCCCUCUCCGUCCGCUUUCCCCUCGUCGUCUUAGCGCGUGUGAGCAUGUCCAAUGUCAAGUUGUGAAGCAAGUCCAUUUUAUAUUGCUUAGUAGUUGCUGUCGUAUCAUGGUAGUUGUUAAUUAAUUAACCUAUUAAUGCUAUGUUAUUGUCUUGGCUUGAUGUUUAUGGUUGUUGUGAGCUUGCAAGUACAUUCAAUGUACUGACCUGGCGUGUCAUGCCAGAUUGCAGGUGAUGCUAUGAUUGCUUGAUUGUUUGUCGAGGUGUCCGUUCAUGCGAGCUAGAUCGUGUCCCAGCCAGAGUCCCUGCGGAGUGGAGUUCACCAUCUUCGUCGUUGUUCCGCUGCUAGAAGUAUUCUGCUGCUACUAGUUGUUCCGCUGCUAGCAUAGAGCAAGUGUAGUAUCGCAGGCGUAGUGUCGCCAUGCUGAUGUGCUUCUUUGUAACAUCAGACCCUUGUAUUAUUAUUCUUGUAAUAAGAGCUGAUUUGUUCUAUGUCAAGCAGUGUCGUAUUCCAGAGACUUUUCCUUGAUCUCUGGGCUGGAAUACGGGGCGUUCCGGUUUCUCUGAGCUGGGGUGCCACAGGCUUGGUAUCAGAGCAGGUCUGGCUGUAGGACGCCCUAGUCAGCGCGAGCGGUAGAAACCGGUAGUAUAGGCUCUACCUUGUUUGUUACAUUUGGUUGCUGCAUUUGUUUGUUGCAUAGCAUGCAUAUAGCCUUAUUAUUUUGCUACUGACGGUUUAUCUGGUGAGUGUAGCUAGCAUCGGUCCGGAUCCACUAUAGCUCAACCUUUGCAUUUCUUUAGUUUUAUUUUCUUGCUCGUUCUUCGGUGUUUGGUGUCAUUUCUGUCCCAGCGGAGUGAUGCCAAGUGAUCCGACACUGUUUGCAGAAAUGGUGCUCCGGUAUCGCGCCGAUUUCUUUCCUUUAGCCCCAUUUUGUUUCGGUGGUAGACAUGCUUCUAUCCCGGAUCGUCCUUUUAUCUUGUCGUGUUGGCAACCCUUAAUGGUCUCAGUCAUCAUAAAAAGGGCAAUGUCAGCAGACUCAGUUUUUCCCCGCUAUCCUUAUUUCUUAGAUGAGUACGGAUAUUUUCCGUCCGCUUGAUAAUAAUGUGGUCGCGACAUUCAUGUCCUGCUACAUGGUUACCAAGUACGUACUCGCCUCCGAGCUAGUCCAGGUUGCUACCUGGCUAAGCUAGCACUUGGUGUAGCGCUGUUUACACCAAUUCUUCCACACAUUUAUUCAUCCUCGUGCACAUCGUCACAGCAUGCUAGAUCGUAGAACCGGAGAUCCCGCGAAAUUUGUGUGCUUAAGUAGGCAUGCAUAUUGUGUGACUAGCAGUAAAAUGUGACAUUGAUUGUGUGUGAAGUGAUUGUUGUUGUGUGCUUUUGUUUAGUUGAGUUUUCUUUUGCUUCUUUUUUUUCUGGGCCCCGGUGUUACAUUAUUUCCCCCCUAUAAAGAGUUGCUCAUCAACCAACACCGGACUCAAAGAAGCAACAAGGAGUUUAAAAAUUUGGAAACUCAGCUAAACAGAAUGGAAUUCUCAGUCGUCUGCAGUAAAAUGGGAAAUAUCUGAUCUUGAGGCUGAUAAUCAAUUGUGCAUCAGUGUGCACUCCUCUCGUCAGUACUGAUAAAUCAAGUCCCCAUCAGUACCAAAUCCUCACAAUAGUAAUGAUCAAGUCAGCAGCAAGACAAGUCAGGUACAAGCCCAACGGUAUAUUUUCAGACAGAGGUAUGGAUCAUAUACAAAGUUUUGGCUCAACAAUGCAUAAUGCUUGAAAUAUGUUAUCAUCUGAAAUAAAGUCAGAAUGUGACAUGCUCGAGGAAGACAGUCAAACCAUUUUUCUCAUGCAAAUAAUCAGCCUCAGAAUAUUAUGGGCGUGUGUAUGGAUUUCAGUCUGCAUAUCAGUAUGAAGUUUUGGAUAUAAGAAACCCAGUAUUAUUCCACACGCUAUUGGAAGAAAUUUAUGAGGCAAGGCUCCUCAAUUUUUCCUCAGCAUGAUAUGUGAACAAUUUCCGGCCCACAAUACCCGGUCUUUCUCAAUAAGAUACCUCGGUAAAAGCUUCUGGCAGACGGAAAUGAAUUUUCUCAACAAGCAAAACCGAGGAUAAGCUUCUCAAGUACGGAACUCAGGUUUCUCCAGCACAAUAAUCCGACCAAGCUUCAUGUGUAAGCUAUCGAGAUUUCUUGUGCACGCUACCUAGACCAAAAGCCUCGAGCAGAAUCUAAGAGUCUUCCUCAGCAAGCUACUCGGAUGGCUUCCCUCGUAAGCCACCCAGUCCGCGCCAGUAGCACACUAUGUACCGUCCUCAGAGAUUAUAUGAUGAGUUGGCAGUAUAUGGCAGUACAUCUCAAGGAUCAUAUUUGCAAUAAUUUUGUCAGAGGUAUAAUUCAGUCAAAGCAUAUGCCUGCCGCAAUAAUCGGGUAUUCAGUUGCAUACGAUUAUUAUACAUAUGGUAAGCAUGUAUCCGCGGUCAGAUCAGUCACUCAUACGGGAUAUGGCACUGAUCCAGCAGAUAUACCUAAGAAAGGUACGGACCCAACAACCUCAUAAGUCAUGCAAAUGAAGAUAAGCAGAGAUACAUCUCAUGAAUUACAAGGAUCGACAAGAUCUGGGGAUGACAUCACAGAAUCCACAGUCUUGACCAUGGUCAUCAAGGUCAUUAUUCCCACACCAGACAAGGUGAUAUCAUGAAACCUUGUCACCUUCUGGUAUGAUUGGCCUCAGCAAUGAGCUCCGUACAACUACAAACCCCGAGUAUAUGUCAUAUAUGUGCGGACACAGGUCAGAAAAACAAGCACAAGGAAUAAUGUCAAAAAUAUUAAUCACAGUCAUGGUCAUACAAAGAAUCAAGGACAUGUGUGGCCAAGUUAUUUCAGUAAGGUAUCCUCACAAAGAAAAUCAUGAUUGUUAAAGGGUGAGACUGACAACAAAGGUAGGAUGAUUUUUGCAUGAACAUCAGGGUCCGGAUACCCAAAUCAGUUGGAGGCCGUAAUUCCAUAUGGAGCCACAAAGGCAUACCCUCAGAGGAUUGCUCUGUUCUACAAGGAUUUCAUAUCCCGCUGACCCGCUUGAAAUGGUUAGUGUGGAAUAUCCAAGUCUGUUCUGUCAGAUCCAAGAUUUCCUUUUGUAAACUCUGCAGUUUGACCUCAGCGGCAGUGUUACAGCAUCUCAUAGCUUCAUUUCCACACCUGGGUAUACCGACAACAUGGGUAAAUUAAAAGCCGAACCAUCAGCUCAGAUCAGGUAUAUUCACUGGCGGAACCAUGUACACGGACAACAUGUCAAGAAAAUUAUUUUCCCGCCAGCACCCUGCCAGGGCAGUCUCAAGGUAUUAAUAUUCGAUGGUAUGACACAGCUGUAACUCCAUACCCCGUUAUAUCGCUCACGACAGAAGGCAGUCGAAUCUUGGGUACAGACCCCAUGCUCGAGUCAAAGGGGUAAAUCUAGAUAAAUCAGUACCACUUGCGAGCAGUCAGAUCCUGUCAGAAAAUGGCCAUGAUUCUCAGCAUUUAUGGAAUCAAGAAGACAUGCAUUUGUUUGAGUAACCCGGUAGCAGAAGUAAAAAGUUUUCAUGGAAAAGGAAAUUUAUGAUAAGAUCCAUUGGAUAUCACUGCAUAUAUGAGAAAAUUUACGUGAGCAAAAGGAAGUGGUAUAUGAGCAAAAACCCGUCAGAAAUUGGGGAAAAGUGAAGCAGCCAACCCCAGAGCAAGGUAAGUUGAUCAUCUGAAAUUCUUGGGGGAACAAUAAAUAAAGGAAAAAGGAUACCCGAGUUGGAAACGGUAUCCUCAAGUGAUACUUGUUCCCAGAGCAACUAAAUCUCGAGGACGAGAUUUCUUUAAGGGGGUAAGAGUUGUAACAGCCUGGAUUUUGGCCCUUUCCUUUUUCUUUUGAUUUAUUUGGUUUUUGCUCUGUUUUUCUUUUUUUUUGAGUGGUUCUGUGGCCUUGUCACUUGGGAAAUCAUCUUCAAUUCUUCUCCCAAGUGGCUCAUCAUCCUCGAAUCUUUCCCAAGGUCAUGCCAUUCCCAUCCUAGCCCAAAUCCCAAUAUUGUUUUCUUGGGGAAAAUUCCUUUUUCAUUAAAGGAAUAACCUCAAUUGACCUAGAUUGUGAAGCAACCUAUAUUUCUGCCCAUCCAAAAAUUCCCAUAUAAUUCUUAAAAUUCCUUUGGGUCAUAUGUUCCUCAAAUAUGCCCAAACUUUCCUGUCCUAGCUCAAAAAUAAUUCCCCAAUAAUUAUUCUUCUAUUUUGCCCUAAAUGGCACUUUGUGAAGGAAGUGUCAUUUAUAUUUUCCUAGUUGCUCCCAAACUCAUUGGGCAUUCUUUUAUGUCCAAAU
rnacentral:lncRNA from 1 species